rnacentral:lncRNA from 1 species
GUGAUGCAGGAUGCAGGACAAUUCUUUGUUGUAGGCAACUGCCUCACACACGGCAGGGCGCCUCGCAUCCCUGGCCCCGCAUGUUAAAUGUCAUAACCAGACCAUUAUGACAACCAGAAGUACCUCUCACAUUUCCACAAAGCCCCUGUGGUGCUGCCCCAGGAGGGGAGCACUGCUCACCCAGCCCAGCUGGGACCCAGCGCAUGGAAGAAGCCAGCAGGGACUGGCGGAUGAUCCAUGGAGUCCCAGGGCAGACUCUAGCUCAGCUGGGGAAUCCUGCAGUCAAGUCUGGACUGAGCAGUUUGCAUUUAAAAGACCUUGUUUUCCCCAGAACCUAAGGCUCAGGGAAACAGACUGGAUUGAACACCUAGGUUUCUCACCAGCUGUGCCAGCGUGGAGAUGUGGAGCUCCGGUUGGCCACCCUGCAGGAGGUUUUGGCCUCAGGUGCUUUUUAACAGAUUCCUGUUGCACUACAUUGUUGCAAGUUUCCUAGCACCUAUAGAAUUUCCCAGGAGUACAUGCUAAAUGAUUUGGGCAAAUGACUUUCAGACGACUGGGGCUCAGCCUAGCGAAAGAACCCUGCAGUGCACUGAGAAGCGUCUUCAGACUUCAAGGAGAUUAUUUAAAUUUGCCUAAAGCUCUCAAAGUGCUCCUUGAAAGUUCUGCUAAACAAAGAACCAAACCAAGAAAAACCUCUAGGGAAUAAAUGUUGCUAAAAUGGUAGUAAGAUGCA